AAAGAUCCUUACAAUGACAUAGUUAAAAGAGAAAUAAACAAUAUGCUAAUUGCAUAAUCUCAAGUAAUUCACUUCAAUUUAAAUAAACCAAAGUAGCUCAGCUUAUCCUGAAAACCAUUAAUCAAGUUUCCAGAAGGAAUGGCCUUCGAAGAUCAAGCAACUGCCCCUUUCCUAUCAUCUACAGAAUAGAUAAACACAAACAUAUCUGUUAUCAGCACAAAAAAAAGAACUGGUUGAGCAGCAGAAGCGGAAAACCUAACCUUAAUUUCACAACUGUUAAAUGCUACAUAGUUCAUACGAGAAGUAAGGUCAAGUCAAAUCCCAAAAUCAGUCAGACAACACUGGUGCAACCCAUGAGGCUAAUAAAUCACAAUAUCAAGCUAAAAUAGGCAAAUAACAUCUGAUUAAAUGCCUGCAUACACACUGACCUGGAAGAGCAAAAAAUAGUUAAAGACAACAAGGUAAAUGCAGAUUGAGGAAAACUUUCAUAAAUUCAAAUAAACUAGACAAAUUUAGUUCAAAUAAACUAGACGAAUUCGGUUCAAAAAAACUGGACGAAUUUAGAUGACAACAAACCCUAGACACUAAUUUUUAGAUGACAAUAUAUGUAAAUCGAGAGAUUGAGGAAAAUUUUACCAGAGAGAAUCGGAGAAAUUAGACACUAAUUUAGCUCCGGCUGGCGAGGCCGGCUCGCGGUGGCCGUCUGAACUCUGGGGGAGGCUGGGGGCGCGGCUGGACCCUGGGGCGACUGGAAAGGCCAGGCAGGGGCUCAGCCCUAUGCGCGACUGUGCGGUGCAGUCUCUGCAAGAAGGGGUGGCAGGGGGCGCACGGCUGAAGCGAGAGCGGCGCGCGGUGGCAGGUAGAAGGGACGGAGCGGGCGAAGGCGUGGGGGGGGGGAGAUUGAUUCUAAGGAAGAAGAUGAUUUGGUGAUUUGGGUGAAUUUUUUUUUUUGAAGAGGGUAAUUUGGGUGAAAUUAAUUUAGAAAGAAAGGUUUGGGAUUUGGAGCGAAAAGGUGGCGGGAGGGUUAUAUUUAAUUUUUAGAAGAAUAAUUUUAUUUUUAAAAUUAAAAAAAAAUCAUAGAUAACAGUAGGGAAUAACAAUUACAACUACCGUUAUAAAUUACGCUCAUACAUAACGGUAUUCUUAACACUGAAACAACCGUUGUUGAAUCCAUGCUCAUACAUAACGAUUG
rnacentral:lncRNA from 1 species